GCAAACAAAAAAGAUCUGUGGGUGAAAAGUAUAAAUAUAAGGGAUUCGUUAUGCUGCAAAAAUACAUGGUACGAAAUUGCACUCAGCUCAUUACCAGACAAUGGAGCUCAGUACAAAUCCGAAAGAGAAGCCAGUGUUGGUGGAGCCCCCUGUGGCCUGCACUUCUCCAGAGCAGUUAGUGGGUAGCCACUGUGCUUUUACUUCACCUUGUAGUCGGCAGCGAGGCAAGGAAAAGGUCCGCCUUCCUUUAUUUCCCUCCUCUGCCUACACAAAGGCUUUCUGUGAGAGGGCUUGGUACAGCAGAGCAGGAGAGAGAGAGUUUGUUGGCUUUUGGGCACAGCCCCUCCUUUCUGCAGAUGGGGACAUGUGGCUUCUACAGCUGCACAUAGCUUACCCCACUGGCCAAAGCCAGCAGUCGGUACACGGAGAGCCUGCUGGCUGAUGAGAACAGGGCCCGAUGGGAUGGGAACCAGCUUGCAACAGCGUUCUUUGCAGAUGCUGGGAAGGAAAAAAACUGUUUGUGCUUUUAAGCCUGGAAGGUCUGUACGAAGUGGGUUCGUAUCUCCCUCUAACUGCACUGCACUGGGACGAUCCCUUGGUGUUUGCUUAUACUGAGUGUUACCACCAUUCACGAUUUAGCAGCCUGAGUUUAAAAAAAAAAAAAA
rnacentral:lncRNA from 1 species